AGCUUUUCCUCUCUAUCACAAACGGCUCUCUCAUAUAUGGACUCUUCCUCCUAAAUUUUCACUAAAAUAUAAUUCUACAACAGCUCUCAACUACUAGUCUACAGCUCAUUAACUCCACACAUACCAAGCUUUAGACCAAAGAGACCCUCUAAAGUACAGUUUUUAAGGGUAAAGAACGUAAAUACACCAUACCCAAGCUCCUAUAAAAACCAUAGCAACCGCCCCAAGCACUCCACAGUUUUUUCUCGGUACUCCAUUUCCUAACAUUAUAUAAGUUUUUCUCUUUUAAUAGUCAUUUUGAGAAAGAACUUGUGUAGGCAACAGCCUUUCUGAUGUUAGCAAAGUUGAGUUAACUUCAUCAGAGAGGAGAAUUUGUUGGUACUCUUUGGGUAGGGUUAGAAUAUUAACCUGUUUAAAAUCUCCAUAAAACUUUUAUUUUCUAUCCAAGAGAUUACCAGCAAAUACUCGCCUCUUAUGAUUGCCAACUAGUAACUUUGCUAAUGAAAGGAAGACAUGUCGUCUUCACCACCAUUGUCGACUUGCCACCUAUUAUCACCACUGUUUUCACUGCACCACCACCUCUUCGCUUGACACGAUAGAUCUCAAAGCUGCUAAACUGAGGUGGUAUCCCUUCAAUCUUAUCUUUUGCUGGUUUUGUUUUUAUUUUCAAGUUCUAUAUGUUGUUUUUAACUAUGAUUUUGUAUGGUUUUAGUUUAUUUGAGUAAAAUGAAGUCAUGGGACUCUGUUUUUUGUGAAUGCUGGAUAGUUAAGCUAUUUUGAAAUUCCUGCUUUUAUGAAAGUGGAAUAUGAUAGUGCUAACGAGAAAAAUGAUUGCGUCUCAAAAUAGAUUCAAAUGUGUGAAGUUUUUGGCGUGUGCAUUUUCCCAACAUUUUGUUGGUUCUCAAGAAUUGAAUUCUUACAUAAUUUUUGAACUUUAUCUUGAAUUUAUUCUUAGUUUGGGAGAUGAGAAUUUGGCUUUAGCUGAAUUGCUUCAUGUAAACAAUUAAAAAUAGGCAUAUUGUAACGAUAUCUUUUUGCUGUAAGGACGUACAGUGUGUUGUUCUAUGAUGUGGUUAAUAUUACAGAGGACUUUAUUCUUAAAAGAAUUAUGUUUCUUCAAAAAGAGUAUUAAUUGUAAGAUAAUACUUUUAUUAAACUGCAUUCAAAUAUACCUAUAAAUGACAAUUGGUUAGAUGAAAAGAUGACAUUGUUAACAGGAGUAUACCAUAGAUCAUAGAUGAAAAUCAAAUUAUUGAAACUAUAAUAUUACAGACAUUAGAUAUUAGUCAAAAAGUACUUAAUUGCCAUUUGAUCAAAAUAGUAAACAAGAAGUGGAAUUUAUAUAAUUAAUGGUAGCUGAGAGUCAUAAUGAAUCAAUGAUGUGCAUCCUCAAUUACCAUCAAAUGCUCUUGAACAGUUGAAGAGCCUUUAAACUGUUUUUCUCUCAGAUUUAUAUUUUUUAUCUUACAGUUUAUACUUUAUUCACUUAGUUUCUUAUGAUUUCAGGUUUUACUUUUCAGAGCUGGUAGCGGUUGUAUUUUUAUCUGAUCAUCAAACUCUCAAACUAUCGGUUCUGUAUCGGUCCAACUCGACCAUUCCAGAACCUGAAACUGACACAGAUGAAUCGGAAGACGAAAUUUCGGACCCGGGUCAUGACCGUCUGGUGAGGAGGAGCAAGUCCGACAAGGUUGGUGGUGUCGUGGUUUGUCGCCGAUCUUCAUCUUCACACGGAUCUUCAUCUUCAUCACUGAUCUAUUUUGGGUUUGAUUUGAUUUGAUUUUUUUUUUUUCUUUUCUUGCUAUGGGUUGUGGUUGUCACAUAGAGGUUGUUGUUGGUGGAGUGGGGGUGGAGGUGGAUGUGGUUGGCUAAAAGGUUUUUGUGGGUGGUUGUUCUUGGUUGGCAGUGGUUGUGGAUUGUGCAUAGAUGUGGUGUUUUUUUAGUUGUAUGUAUUAUUUUAUUGUAGUAGAUAUAUUAUUUUAUUGUGAUGUUUAUAUUA